CCUACGGGAGGCAGCAGUGAGGAAUAUUGGUCAAUGGACGAGAGUCUGAACCAGCCAAGUAGCGUGAAGGAUGACUGCCCUAUGGGUUGUAAACUUCUUUUAUAAAGGAAUAAAACGAGGCACGUGUGCCUUUUUGCACGUACUUUAUGAAUAAGGAUCGGCUAACUCCGUGCCAGCAGCCGCGGUAAUACGGAGGAUCCGAGCGUUAUCCGGAUUUAUUGGGUGUAAAGGGAGCGUAGAUGGGUUGUUAAGUCAGUUGUGAAAGUUUGCGGCUCAACCGUAAAAUUGCACUUGAUACUGGCAGUCUUGAGUGCAGUUGAGGUAAGCGGAAUUCGUGGUGUAGCAGUGAAAUGCUUAGAUAUCACGAAGAACCCCGAUGGCGAAGGCAGCUUACUAAACUGUGACUGACAUUGAUGCUCGAAAGUGUGGGUAUCAAACAGGAUUAGAUACCCUGGUAGUC
rnacentral:rRNA from 1 species